AGUGAACGCUGGCGGCGUGCCUAAUACAUGCAAGUCGAACGGAGAUUAAGUAGCUUGCUAUUUAGUCUUAGUGGCGCACGGGUGAGUAAUAUAUAGCUAACUUGCCCAUUACUAAGGGACAACAGUUGGAAACGACUGCUAAUACCUUAUACUCCGUAUCGAUAUAAGUAGAUACUGGAAAGUUUUUCGGUAAUGGAUAGGGAUAUAUCGUAUCAGCUAGUUGGUAAGGUAAUGGCUUACCAAGGCUAUGACGCGUAACUGGUCUGAGAGGAUGAUCAGUCACACUGGAACUGAGACACGGUCCAGACUCCUACGGGAGGCAGCAGUAGGGAAUAUUGCUCAAUGGGGGAAACCCUGAAGCAGCAACGGCGCGUGGAGGAUGACACUUUUCGGAGCGUAAACUCCUUUUCUUGGGAAAGAAUUAUGACGGUACCCAAGGAAUAAGCACCGGCUAACUCCGUG
rnacentral:rRNA from 1 species